UACGAAGGGGGCUAGCGUUGCUCGGAAUUACUGGGCGUAAAGGGCGCGUAGGCGGACAGUUUAGUCAGAGGUGGAAGCCCAGGGCUCAACCUUGGAAUUGCCUUUGAUACUGAUUGUCUUGAGUACGGGAGAGGUGAGUGGAACUCCGAGUGUAGAGGUGAAAUUCGUAGAUAUUCGGAAGAACACCAGUGGCGAAGGCGACUCACUGGCCCGUUACUGACGCUGAGGCGCGAAAGCGUGGGGAGCAAACAGG
rnacentral:rRNA from 1 species